GCCUCUGGUUUUAUUGCUGUUUUAAAUGAACCUGCCUUAGGCUGGACAUGGUGGUGGCUGUGGCAGGUGGCCAAUUGUGAUUAUAAAAGAAUACCUAUAUGUAAGUGUAUGACUCCCCACAGGGAGGAAAUGAAGAAGGAAGGAAGGAGAGAAGGAAGAAGCAUUGUCCAACUGGAACUGAACAGUUGGGUCCCGGAUUGUGAACAGAAGGAUUUUCUCUUCACUGCCACUACAAG